ensembl:processed_transcript 5033403H07Rik RIKEN cDNA 5033403H07 gene
GAUUUUAUAAAGAAUGGAGGACCAAAAGCAAAGCUGCCCUCCAUCCCGGAAGAGUCCGAAGGACCUUCUACAAAAUGAGGGACUCACGUGGCCUCAGACUCGCUCUCUAGCCAAGGGUAACCUCUAACUUGCUGAGCCUCUAGGAAGACCACAGCAGAUACCCAAGCUCUCUGCAAAAGCUCCUCAAAUUCCAAUCUCUUCUGGACCCUUCAAGUGCUGGGAUUGCAGCAAGAAAAACAAAACCAGAGGAAGGGGUGAGAGAAAAAAAAGCAAAUGGGGAACUGAAAAAUUAUUGAAGGGCUGGUGAGGUGACUCAGUGGAAAAAGGAGCUUGCUGUCAAGUCUGAAGACCAGAGUUCAAUUCCCAGGACCCACCUGGUGGAAGUUGUCUUCAAACUGCCCCAUGAAUAUUCAAACACAAGCAUGUAUAUUCAUACAAAAUAAAUAAAUAUAAUUUAAAAAAAUAAA